rnacentral:rRNA from 1 species
CAGUCGCCGCGGGAAUACGGAGGGUGCAAGCGUUAAUCGGAAUUACUGGGCGUAAAGCGCACGCAGGCGGUUUGUUAAGUCAGAUGUGAAAUCCCCGAGCUUAACUUGGGAACUGCAUUUGAAACUGGCAAGCUAGAGUCUUGUAGAGGGGGGUAGAAUUCCAGGUGUAGCGGUGAAAUGCGUAGAGAUCUGGAGGAAUACCGGUGGCGAAGGCGGCCCCCUGGACAAAGACUGACGCUCAGGUGCGAAAGCGUGGGGAGCAAACAGGAUUAGAGACCCCUGUAGUCCCUGUCUCUUAUAC